rnacentral:rRNA from 1 species
GGGGGAUAUUGCACAAUGGAGGAAACUCUGAUGCAGCAACGCCGCGUGAGGGAAGAAGGUCUUCGGAUUGUAAACCUUUGUCCUUGGUGACGAAACAAAUGACGGUAGCCAAGGAGGAAGCUCCGGCUAACUACGUGCCAGCAGCCGCGGUAAUACGUAGGGAGCAAGCGUUGUCCGGAUUUACUGGGUGUAAAGGGUGCGUAGGCGGCUUUGCAAGUCAGGUGUGAAAACUAUCGGCUUAACUGAUAGACUGCAUUUGAAACUGUGGAGCUUGAGUGGAGUAGAGGUAGGCGGAAUUCCCGGUGUAGUGGUGAAAUGCGUAGAGAUCGGGAGGAACACCAGUGGCGAAGGCGGCCUACUGGGCUUUAACUGACGCUGAAGCACGAAAGCAUGGGUAGCAAAC